UACGAAGGGGGCUAGCGUUGUUCGGAUUUACUGGGCGUAAAGCGCACGUAGGCGGCUUGUCGCGUCGAGUGUGAAAUCCUCCGGCUCAACCGGGGAACGACGCAUGAAACUGGCAAGCUAGAGUACCCAAAGAGGGGGGUGGAAUUCCUGGUGUAGCGGUGAAAUGCGCAGAUAUCAGGAGGAACACCGGUGGCGAAGGCGGUUCUCUGGGCAUGACCUGACGCUGAGGAGCGAAAGUGUGGGGAGCAAACAGG
rnacentral:rRNA from 1 species